GACGAACGCUGGCGGCGUGCUUAACACAUGCAAGUCGAACGGAAAGGCCCUGCUUUUGUGGGGUGCUCGAGUGGCGAACGGGUGAGUAACACGUGAGUAACCUGCCCUUGACUUUGGGAUAACUUCAGGAAACUGGGGCUAAUACCGGAUAGGAGCUCCUGCUGCAUGGUGGGGGUUGGAAAGUUUCGGCGGUUGGGGAUGGACUCGCGGCUUAUCAGCUUGUUGGUGGGGUAGUGGCUUACCAAGGCUUUGACGGGUAGCCGGCCUGAGAGGGUGACCGGCCACAUUGGGACUGAGAUACGGCCCAGACUCCUACGGGAGGCAGCAGUGGGGAAUAUUGCACAAUGGGCGGAAGCCUGAUGCAGCAACGCCGCGUGCGGGAUGACGGCCUUCGGGUUGUAAACCGCUUUCGCCUGUGACGAAGCGCGAGUGCCGGUAAUGGGUAAAGAAGCACCGGCUAACUACGUG
rnacentral:rRNA from 1 species